rnacentral:rRNA from 1 species
GAGUUUGAUCCUGGCUCAGAACAAACGCUGGCGGCGUGCCUUAAGCAUGCAAGUUGAGCGGCAAGGAGGAAGAUCCUCCCUAGAGCGGCGGACUGGUGAGUAACGCGUGGGAAUCUAUCAUAGGCAUGGGGAUAGUCACUAGAAAUAGUGGGUAAUACCGAAUACGUUCCAUGAGGGGAGUAUAUGGAAGAAAGGGUGCUACGGCCCUUGGUGAGCUCGCGUCCCAUUAGCUAGUUGGUGAGGUAAAGGCCCACCAAGGCGAUGAUGGGUAGCGGCCUGAGAGGGUGUACGGCCACACUGGGACUGAGAUACGGCCCAGACUCCUACGGGAGGCAGCAGCUAAGAAUAUUCCGCAAUGGACGAAAGUCUGACGGAGCGACGCCGCGUGGAUGAAGAAGGCCGAAAGGUUGUAAAGUUCUUUUGCUAGGGGAGAAUAAGUGAGGAGGAAUGCCCUCAUGAUGACAAGGACUAGCGAAUAAGCCCCGGCCAACUACGUGCCAGCAGCCGCGGUAACACGUAGGGGGCGAGCGUUGUUCGGAAUUACUGGGCGUAAAGCGUGCGCAGGCGGUUUUGUAAGACAGGUGUGAAAUCCCCGGGCUUAACCUGGGAACUGCGCUUGUGACUGCAAGACUUGAGUGCGGCAGAGGGGGGUGGAAUUCCACGUGUAGCAGUGAAAUGCGUAGAGAUGUGGAGGAACACCGAUGGCGAAGGCAGCCCCCUGGGUCGACACUGACGCUCAUGCACGAAAGCGUGGGGAGCAAACAGGAUUAGAUACCCUGGUAGUCCACGCCCUAAACGAUGCGAACUAGGUGUUGGGGAAGGGAUUCUUUAGUACCGUAGCUAACGCGUGAAGUUCGCCGCCUGGGGAGUACGGUCGCAAGAUUAAAACUCAAAGGAAUUGACGGGGACCCGCACAAGCGGUGGAUGAUGUGGAUUAAUUCGAUGCAACGCGAAAAACCUUACCUACCCUUGACAUGUCCGGAAUCCUGGUGAGAGCUGGGGGUGCCGAAAGGAACCGGAACACAGGUGCUGCAUGGCUGUCGUCAGCUCGUGUCAUGAGAUGUUGGGUUAAGUCCCGCAACGAGCGCAACCCUUACCUUUAGUUGCUACGCAGAGCACUCUAAAGGGACUGCCAUUGACAAAACGGAGGAAGGUGGGGAUGACGUCAAAUCAUCAUGCCCCUUAUGACCUGGGCUACACACGUACUACAAUGGCAAUUACAAAGAGAAGCGAGACGGUGACGUGGAGCGAAUCUCAAAAAAUUGUCCCAGUUCAGAUUGCAGGCUGCAACUCGCCUGCAUGAAGUCGGAAUUGCUAGUAAUCGCGGAUCAGAUGCCGCGGUGAAUACGUUCCCGGGCCUUGUACACACCGCCCGUCACACCAUGGGAGUCGGUAACACCCGAAGUCGGUAGUCUAACAGCAAUGAGGACGCCGCCGAAGGUGGGAUUGAUGACUGGGGUGAAGUCGUAACAAGGUAGCCGUAUCGGAAGGUGCGGCUGGAUCACCU